UAUUAUUGUGUAUUCACAACCCGGAAUAAGACAGAUAGUCACAAAAGCAGAGCUAGACAAGACAAAUAUGAAUGAGAUUUUAACACAACCAAUAAACUAAAAAAAAAAAAGUGUGAGAAAGGAAGAAGCAUUUUGUCCAGGGGAGAAUAAUCCAUCUUGUCCUCGUAAACAGUCUCCCUCCGCAAAGUCAAUCCAGAAACAAGUAAUAAUUCUAUACAUCAGCGUGAAUAAAAGGAUAGGUCACCGACCAAGCCAACUUCUCUGGGACUGGACUUCUCCAUCAUUCAUCAGCUUA
rnacentral:misc_RNA from 1 species